rnacentral:siRNA from 1 species
AGUCGUUGUAGUAUAGUG